rnacentral:lncRNA from 1 species
CUGGAGGUAGGAGGUUUUUUGGGUUUUUUGUUUUUUCGGACUCCCAUUUCAAGAGUUUUGGGGAAGCAGAGAGAGGAGACCGAGGCGAGGGCAGAGCCGGCACUCACUGACUCCUCGGCUGCAUCCCGGCCGCGCUCCCGCCCUUUCCCGCCAUUCCAGCAGGAUGAGAGCUGCGGAGCUCCUGGUGCUGUGUCUGCCAGUGCUCCUGGUGCAGGGACAGUUCAGCAGGUUCGAGGGCAUCACCUACCCCGAGCCAGUCCAGUACUCCCAGUACGACCAGCAGGCAGGUGAGAGCCUCGCGCUGGGACGGCCCCGCCCCUUCCGCCCCUCUCCCGGACAGACAGACACCCAUCCCUCUGAUCCAGACAGACAGACACCCAUCCCUCUGAUCCGGACAGACAGACACCCAUCCCUCUGAUCCGGACAGACACACACCCAUCCCUCUGAUCCGGACAGACACACACCCAUCCCUCUGAUCCCUCCCUCCUGUGCUCCAUCCUUUUCCUCCGCCCCUGGAAUUCCCGGCCUUCCCAGCUCCUCCCACUGCUCUCACUGACAAUUCUUUAUUAAAUCUUUAUCCAAUUCCUUAUUAACCUUUCAUCCAAUUCCUUUUAAAACCUUUAUCCUUUAUUAACCCUUUAACCAAUUCUUUAUUAACCCUUUAUCCAAUUCCUUAUUAAACUUUUAACAAAUACUUUAUUAAACAUGUAUCCAAUUCCUUGUGAAACCUUUAUCCAGUUAUUUCUUAACCCUUUAUCCAAUUCUUUAUUUCCCUUUAUCCAAUUCUUUAUUACCCCUUUAUCUAAUACUUUAUUAACCUUUUAUCCAAUUCUUUAUUAAACCUUUAUCCAAAUAUUUAUUAGCACUUUAUCCAAAUAUUUUUUGCACCUUCAUCCCUCCCUAAUCCCCACCUGUGGGAAGUGGCCCCAGCUCAUCCCUGGAGGAGCUGGAGGGAGUUUUCCCAACCCGCUACGGAAUCCCAGGGAUCUCAUUUCCCACUCCCAGUCCCCACGGGAUGAGCUCUCUCCCAAACCCUCCCUCAGCUGUUUCUGUUUUAUCCCCAGAAAUUCAGGAUUACUACGNNNNNNNNNNNNNNNNNNNNGGGUCUGUCCUUGCAGAUGUCACCCCCCGAGCCCCUGAGGAGCAGUUCCGGUACCAAUCCCAGCAGCAAUCCCAGCAGGAAACCGUGCCAGCCCCGACCCCAGGUGGGUGACAGCCCCCAAAGUGGGUGACAGCCCUGCAAGAAGGGUGACAGUCCCCGAGGUGGGUGACAGCCCCUCCAGGAUGGGUGACAGCUCCCAGGAUGGGUGACAGCCCUGAAGCAAGGGUGACAGCCCCCAGGGUGGGUGACAGCCCUGCAGGAAGGGUGACAGCCCCCAGGGUGGGUGACAGCCCCCCAAGCCCCCCUGUCUCAGGCC